rnacentral:miRNA from 9 species
UCGGCCCUUCUUCAGGUAGACUUG